GAAAACGCGAGAACGAUACUCGAAACGAAACAGCCGUCGCACACCGACUGCCACAUCUGAAUUCAUUUCGCACAUCCGCGCCACGAAAGUAGUACGUGUCGGGUCUAAAGUUCAGCCGAACGUACAAGCUCCUACCGGCCGUGAAUCAUGAAAAACCGUCGGGGCUCAUCGUUAGGUGACGCGACGCCCGUAUGCUCGUGUGCGAUAAAAAUUGUCCAACGAAUCAAGCAAGGCGAACGAAGUUGCGAAACCUAUAGAUCACGAGUUACGUACGAUGGUAACAAGGCUGCUUCGUACGUAUAUGAAGGAUCGAGCGAGUAUCACCUUUGCGUUUUGAUCAUAGAUGAUUGAUUUUCGAGUCUGGAUAUCCACAAGGUGGUGAAGAGCUCAGACAGUGGGACCAGAACCAACGACCAGCACUUACCGCGGCCGCGAUCAUUAAAAAGCAGCCGUGUCACUCGCGCGCACAACGAGUUCAACGAAACACGGGAAUGUUGAUCACGUUUCUUCUCUUCGAUGUGAAAUAGACGAACGAAGUCAAGUGUUUGGAUACGCGAGGGAGACAGAAAAGGAGCAAUAGAGUGAUAACAGGGACAGAGAGGUGAGAGGUGGUGAAAGGAGAGCGGCUCGAGAGACGAGAGAAAGAGAGAGGUUAUGUGCAGACGACGACAGGAGAAAUUCCAGCGGGCGGCAGCGCUGAGGUCCACGGAUAGUUCGUCCGUUCCUUCGUUCCCCUCGUCCGAUAAGUGAUGAUUCCACGACGAUGAUUCGAGAGGACCGAUUGGGUGGGACGCGUUUUAGCCUCGUUGGAUCUUCGACGUCCGUUUCAUCGUGUAUAUGCCACAGACCAAUGAUUACGAGUGUAUCUUAAGAACUUGGAGGAUUUCUUCGGACGAGGAACAACGAACGGGGUAAUUAAAUUUCGUUUAUUAUUUUAUGUCCCAAGGUAUAGCCUGCUUUAUCGCAUGUAUAUUCAUUCGAUCUCAUGCUUUGCGUCUUAAAGACGGUGUUUGAUUCGCAACCACUCAAAGAAUCUUCUUUCGAUGAUAUCGUUUCGUGUCUGGACCGCUUCUUCUUGCUCGCUGUUUGAAGGAUCGCUCGAUGUCUCGAACGAAUCCGUGAGUAUAUUGAGGAACGAAUUUAAGAUAUGGGUGUGAUGCACUGUUACGACUUCCUAAUUAAUCACACAAUAUAUAUCACUCUCUCUUUAACGAACUAGGAUAAAUGAAAAGAACGUCGAAAAACGGAUAGGAAGACAGCGCGCACCGGUUAUAUCCCUGGAAACGAUUCGUGCGGAAAGCGAUACGCUGUUCUUCUUCUGCCACCUCCUCCUCCACCGCCUUCUCCUUUUCUACCGAUUCUUUUCAUUCGCGUACGCAUACGUUUUCCCACGCACCGAGGCAAAAAACCACACACUUACGGAGACUGACUGGAGGGAAAGAAUAGCGGGAAAAAGAUGGAGAGAAGAAAGGAACGAGGGAAGAGCGCGACGGUGAUCGGGAGUUGAUGCUAGGGCAUCGCAGAGAGCGGGCAAGGCAGAAAUGUCGGUGUUACUACCAGCUUGGAGUAGCAAGCACCGGUAAAACACGGUCCUAACUAACACACAUGGAGACAGAUUGGGGACUGCUGCUUCGGAGUUUACUAUAGGAUGGGACGGAUGGUGAUGGCGGCCGUAGCAGAGCAGCCACCGCCCCCAUGCUUCUUCUCUCUCUCUUCGUCUCCCUUGUCUUGUUCGACCGCCGCCCCCACCACCGUUUCUCACUGCUAUUUCCCUCCACUCUCUACUUCUCCCCGUAACCGUUCCAACCGUUCUCCUAUUCUCCCCUCUAUGCGUUAUGAUGGACACGCUGGAACUCCCCUCUUCAACAUCCAACUUACCCCCUUUCUCUCCCGCUUCUCUUGCACGCUUCUCUCUACAUUUCCUCCUCUUCCUCUUACUCUUCACAUACAGGUCUCUGCUAUAGCUUUCCCUGGGCUACGAGAUGUUAUCCUCGAGCGAUUCGUGCGUACUAUACAUAUAUUCGUCUACCCGUGUCGUCGCCACAUCCCCUACCUGCGUCGCAUCUCGACGUGUGCGUUGGCCGCAAUCAAGGUCAGGAGCGUAACCGGCUAGCUAUGGCACCCCGCCCUAUCGAUUCUAUAUACCACGGUUUCAUUACGAUGACGACGUCGACGACGAUACAAAGGGGGUAGCCAGAGGGAACUUAUGUAGUCGAGCAGUGUUGUUUUCACUAAUAUAGCGGUUUAUGGAUCGCGGUGGUGUUCCGUUAUCGUGGCGCAUUCGUUUACCGGAAACCUGGUAUCUUUUGGCUCAUUGGCUCACAGAUGUGAUUACCUCGUUAUUUAUCUGCUGAAAGGAAGGAUGCGUGUUGCGCCGAUAUUGUAUUUACUUUUAUAUAGCUUCCUCUUCACGUGUUCUAUGCGCAUCCUCCAAGAUACUUCGCUGAAAUACCAGUCGAAUGGGGGUGUGUAAAUCUACGAGAAUGUUGCUAUCAAGUAUAUUCACGUCCAAUAAAUUCUCGUAGCAAUUUCGUAAAGGAAAACAGCUUUCGUGUAAGACGAAGGUGAUGGAACGAAAAGAUGUUAGAAAGAUGAAUUAGUUUCUUCUUUAAUUUUUUUGAGGUCGUUUGUCAAGUCAAUUUGUCAAUUGAAAAAUUCAAUAUCGUUUCGUGAUGUUUAUACAUAUCACGAGAUAUUUUGCAAUCACGGCUCGAAUACCUCGGACUCUCCCGGAGGGGAAACGAGAUAACAUUCGGUAGCGCGUGCGGUUAUCUUCGUCGAUUCCCUUGACUUUUCACCGCCGUGAGGUAUGUAAAUACGUUUUAAAGUAGACAAGAAGCUCUUAUUCGCGAUGCAAUCUACGUAACAACGUCGCAUCGGUAUCAACGAAAUUUUCCAUUCUCUCCUCUUCCUAGCAAGAAUAGUUCAACAAUAAACAAUUCUAUCAUCACGAAAAUAUAUACAGUGGCUAAGAAAAGUAUUUGUAUAUAUAUACCCUUAUUUCAUGACGUAUCUUUUUAUCAGACCACGGUUUCCUUCGAAUAAACGUCAGAUAAACGUGCGCGCACCGCAAGAAAGAGAGAACGCAGGAAAGCGAAGUUAACCCGCAGGCUUGGUCGAGCUACAAGGUAGCUUAUCGUCGGCAACUACGAUAUUGAUGGCUAAUGUGUACGUACAGCCGCGACGAAAGCAGAGACGGCAAGCAGUGGCGGCAGUGUCCGAUACUAUUAUUAGUGUGCAGCUGCCUGCGAAUUACUGAAUGAAAGGGAAGGACCGCUUCGAAACAAUAUCCGAAAGAGACGGGAGGCACGCUGCAUCGUUUAAAGCGACAGCCAUCCGACGAUUAUUUAGAGUCAGAUUUACGCGUGUACAUCUAUGUAUGCGUGCGCCAUCGAACGAAAGCGUCGCGCGUAGUCGUCAUGAAUCGAUUGAUUUGUAAAUUAAUGUAUAUUCCUUCGUACUUGGAUUCAAUCAAACCUUGAAUAUUACAUGAAUCGAUCAACAUGAAAAUUUAAUACUGAACUUAUUGUCCAAUGGAGCAAGGUAAGAACGACCGUAAUAUAUUAUUUUGAAAGUCAUCUAUCACACGUUCGAGUAUACGUAUCAGGUUACGAGAGAAGUAUGGACAAUUAUUUAGCGUCACGUUGAUUGCUUGCUUUGAAUAUCAGCGAAAGACUGGACUGAAUUUUCUCUGAUGAGUAUAAACGUUGAUUCACAUACGAGUAGGGAAUUGUUCAUGAAACUAAUUUGUGAGAUAGUCAUACGUUUAUUUCAGUCCUGAGCCACAUAGAAGAACAAACAUAUUGUACAUAUGUACUUACGUGUUAUUACAUACUUCACAUUUGAGACGAUUGGAACUGUAUCAGGAAAACCUUCUGAAUAAACAGUUCCUUUUUUGACUCUUAUAUAUA